UCCAGCGAGUGUGAUGUGCCAAAAAGGGAGUAGAACAAGACAUGCUGUCAUUGAAAGCUCCCCUCCCCACAUCGUCUCGCACUGCUUGUUGCUGUUCUUCUUUCAGUUGUUGGGAGAACUUGAAGCUGUUU